rnacentral:rRNA from 1 species
AUUGAACGCUGGCGGCAGGCCUAACACAUGCAAGUCGAGCGAGAGGCGGACGGGUGAGUAAUGUCUGGGAAACAGCCUGAUGGAGGGGGAUAACGACUGGAAACGGUAGCUACUACCGCAUACCAUCAGAUCUGCCCAGAUGGGAUUAGCGAGUGGGUGGGGUAACGGCUCACCUAGGCGACGAUCCCUAGCUGGUCUGAGAGGAUGACCAGCAACACCGGAACUGAGACACGGUCCAGACUCCGACGGGAGGCAGCAGUGGGGAAUAGUGCACAAUGGGCGAAAGCCUGAUGCAGCCAUGCCGCGUGGGUGAAGAAGGCCUUCGGGUUGUAAAGCACUUUCAGCGGGGAGGCGUUACCCGCAGAAGAAGCACCGGCUAACUCCGUGCCAGCAGCCGCGGUAAUUC